rnacentral:rRNA from 1 species
UGAUCUCUGGCAACAUAUAAUUUAUUAGUUAUAGUUAAUAUAGUUAAUAAAUUAUUUGCGCAUAUCGGGGGAUCUGAAGAAGAUUUUAUCGGUGAGUAUUCGCGCUCGGAAGGGCUAUGAUGAAUGUUGAAUUAUCGGACAUAGAACGAUAAGGUUGUAUGUCUAAAGGGAAACAGCCCAGAACAAGAGUUAAGGUUCCAAAAUUAAUGUUAAGUGAAAUAAAGGAAGUUUAUCUCAAAUACGACUAGGGAAUAGGCUUAGAAGCGGCCAUUUUUUGAAGACCUCGUAACAGAGCACUAGUUUAGUAAAUUAAUUUUAAUUUACAUUGAUUGUAGCGCCGAAAAUUUAACGGAUCUAAACAAUAUACCGACACCUUGUCCGCAUUUACAAGAGCAAUUUUUUUCUCUUGUUCUUGCGGGGUAGCAGAACGUUGGGCAGAUAUUAGACUUUAUCUUUAAAAGAUAAAGGAUAGGGCUCUUAGAUUUUUUUAAUAUAUGUAGGCAACUCGGUAACUCCGAAUCUCCAUAGUCUAAGAUAUUAAAUAACUUAAUAUACCCCAAGUGAUAAUGCUGACAUGAGUAACGAAAAAGGGUAAAACCUCGCCUUAAGCUUAUGGUUUCAUAUUAAAGUAACGGCCUCUAAGUUGAAGACUUGGUAGUGGUAGCCGUAGGGGCGGUAAUGCCCUCAAUGCCUUAUAUAAUACA